UACAGAGGGUGCGAGCGUUGUCCGGAAUCACUGGGCGUAAAGGGCGCGUAGGCGGCUGUUCAAGUCGGGGGUGAAAGCCUGUGGCUCAACCACAGAAUUGCCUUCGAUACUGGACGGCUCGAGACCGGAAGAGGUCAGUGGAACUGCGAGUGUAGAGGUGAAAUUCGUAGAUAUUCGCAAGAACACCAGUGGCGAAGGCGGCCAACUGGUCCGGUACUGACGCUGAGGUGCGAAAGCGUGGGGGAGCAAACAGG
rnacentral:rRNA from 1 species